rnacentral:rRNA from 1 species
GUGUCAGCCGCCGCGGUAAAACGUAGGACGCGAGCGUUAUCCGGAUUUACUGGGCGUAAAGCGCAUGCAGGCGGCCUUGUAAGUCGGAUGUGAAAUCUCCCGGCUCAACUGGGAGGCGUCAUUCGAUACUGCAAGGCUUGAGGGCAGGAGAGGGGAGUGGAAUUCCCGGUGUAGUGGUGAAAUGCGUAGAUAUCGGGAGGAACACCAGUGGCGAAGGCGGCUCCCUGGCCUGUACCUGACGCUAAGAUGCGAAAGCGUGGGGAGCGAACGGGAUUAGAAACCCCGGUAGUCCACGCCGUAAACGAUGCGGACUAGGUGUGGGAGGUAUUGACCCCUUCCGUGCCGUAGCUAACGCGUUAAGUCCGCCGCCUGGGGACUACGGCCGCAAGGCUAAAACUCAAAUGAAUUGACGGGG